CACUCUGCUCCUUGCUAACAGAGCUCUCUCUCCUGUUGUGCAGCUGGAUCCUUCAGUGAAACUGAAGCCUGCCAAGUUGUUGCACGGCUGCAAAGUCCUGUUAUUGAAAUUUCAUACAUUUCGCUCCAGCUUAAGGUGUGGUUGAAAGAUAACAAAAUUAUAAUGCAGCAUGGCCUGGACUAACAGGAUGAAGCCGCAAAUAGAGAUUCCUUGGCUAGAAAACUCCAUUGCAAAAUUCAGAUUUCAAAGGAAGGCUGUGUUUCAGAUUGCAUAUUAGGGAUGGCCAAAAUUCUAAUGCCUGGGGGAUGAUGCACUUCAGCACCAGUUACUCAGAGGCCAGUAUAUACACACAGUCUUCCGUAAAAAUCUACUGCUGUAACACCUAGGAAGGCUGGAACCAUACAUCUAAGAAUCUAGGGCAAGGGUCCCAUGCUGGAUUAUGCUGAUGGGAGCUGGAGUCAAAAACCAUGUGGAAGGCCAUAGUUUCCCCAUCCCUGAAGUAAGACUUGAAGAGGGAGUAGCGUGGAAGCUAUCUAUCUGGGCUGGAUAUAUAUAAGCUGUUGCUGCACAAGGAAGAAUUUGCUUUCCCAAUA